CUUUACUGUAGCCUGGUAUUGGGUUCGGGCUUUGACUGCGCAGGAUAGGUGGGAGACUAUGAAGCUGCCCUUGUGGGGGCAGUGGAGUCAUCAGUGAGAUACCACUCUGUCAAGGCUAGAAUUCUAACCGUCUGCCGUUAUCCGGCGACGGAACAGUAUCAGGUGGGCAGUUUGACUGGGGCGGUCGCCUCCUAAAUGGUAACGGAGGCGCGCAAAGGUGUUCUCAGGCUGGUUGGAAAUCAGCCGCAGAGUGUAAAGGCAGAAGGGAGCUUGACUGCAAGAGCAACAACUCAAGCAGGGACGAAAGUCGGCCUUAGUGAUCCGAAGGCGCUGAGUGGAAGGGCCGUCGCUCAACGGAUAAAAGUUA
rnacentral:rRNA from 1 species